rnacentral:rRNA from 1 species
UACCCGCAGCACAAGUGGUGGUCAUUAUUAUUGGGCCUAAAGCGUCCGUAGCUGGCGUGUUAGAUGCCUGGGUAAAUCGAUGCGCUCAACGCAUCGAAUUCCGGGUAGACCGGCAUGCUCGAGACCGGGAGAGGUGUAGGCUACUCGCGGGGUAGGGGUAAAAUCCUGUAAUCCUGCGGGGAGGACCAGUGGCGAAGGCGCUACACUAGAACGGCUCUGACAGUGAGGGACGAAGCCCUGGGGCGCAAACCGG